AUGGUAGAGGCGCGGAGCGUCAUCAGUAGCACAGGCAAAAGGCUGGUAAAGGCUGCCGGUGUGAAAGGGAAGUUUCGCCGAAAUGAGGGCUUUUUUACCGGGGCUUUCGUUGGUUUGCUGUAAUAAGAUGCCGCAAACUGUCACAUCUGUGGAGCGCUUCCGUU
rnacentral:ncRNA from 1 species